UCGAUUUCGCAUGUUGAUCAGAGUGAGGGUCUUUCCAACCUCGUCCCCGACAGAAGACGCGUUGGUUCCUGACGCGCUUCGAUUUCUGUGACGAAAAUAUGCUCGGUGGCAACUGAGGCAAAAAUCUAUAAAUGGGAGUCCAAAGCGGUUACGCGUGUAGUUGUGAAGGCGAGUCGUUCGGCGACGGGUAUUACUGCUGGGCGACAAGGAGCCGGCAAGCUGUUUGCAGUUUUCAGGCGGGCUUUUUCAUCAGCCAUGACGAAGCUUCAAAUUAAAGUGGUGUAUUGUGGUGCCUGAGGGUACGCCCCCAAGUUCCGUAAA